UCUAGGGAAGGUCACCUCGAGUCUGCUGCCCAGGCAGCGCGUGGCCCCUCUGAAAAGCAGUUGUUAACAUCCCUAAUCAGACUCCACAGCCGCCCCUGGGCUGCUGUCCUCUGAGCCCAGGAAAGUCUGCUUUAUUUUUCCUGUGGAAAAACAGGCUGGGGCCUGGGGAUUGGCGCCGCGAUCUUGGCACCCUAGGAACUGCAGCCGCCCCUUCACCUGAGCUAACGGCUAGGGCACAAAUGAAGGAAAGCGCUUCCCUUCUAGGAGAAACGAGCAGCUGGAAAUCACGCAGGGGGUGGCGGCCGAGGGCGCACGUGGCAGGCACCCUGGAGGCGAACCGCCUCCUUCCAUGUGCGCUCCGCUCCCGAACCACCUGCCCGCUGCUGAGAGGCGUCCUCCGCCCGCCCGAGCCCCAGGCCGGCCCAGAACUACCUGCUGCUGCCUAGGCGCCCUCGGGCCAAGUCUCAGAAGUUCACUCCCCGUCGCGCUGGUCCGGGAGGCUGGGCAUCUGCUGAAACCCAACCUGCCCUAGAGAGCCGGAGCUCACCCACCCCUGCCCAGCUUGCCUUUCAGUCUGAGAAGGACACCAUGAGGGAACCGCACCAGAACCUGCUAUGGAUAACAAGAUCCAGGACCUUGAGCCUGGACUGAUGCUGCGAGGAGCUUCCAGGCAUAAGACUUAAGAAACUGGAAACAUCUACUUCCUGUACCUUGGACACUCUUUUGGAGCCCCAGCUCACCAGAUGAGAAGUCCAGCUGCCCCCAUGGCCACCAUGUUGUAGCAGCCCAAGCUAGCUUUGUGGAGAGGCUUUGUAAAGGGAGGGAAAGAGGAAGAGGAGUGGGUGGGUUGUCUGGCCAAUAGUCAGCUCUUCUGGCCCCUGCUGUGACAAUCUCCUCAGCUGGAGCCUCCAGGAUUAUAGGAAAGGAAUAAGCCACCCCUACUGGGUCCUGUCUGAGUUCCUGACCCACAGAAAUAGACAAGGUAGUAAGAAAUUAUUGUAUUAAGCUACUUAGUUUUAGGGUGAUUUGUUACAGAGCAAUAGAUAACCAGAACAAUUUACUAACUUGAAUAGAUGUCAAAAAAUAAAUUGAAAGUAGAAAACUCUAACUCUAAAAUAACACACAUGGUUCUGUUUUGGAAAUAUGCAAAAUAACGUGUGAUGGUGUUUGUGUAUACUAUCCAUUUACUCAAUAUAUUUGCACAAAAACUGGAAUGCUUUCUGUGAACUAACUCUGGAGAAUCAGUAUUAGGGUAUUAAAAUCUACAAUAAAGAUU